CUCAUCUUCAAAUUGAGCUUAUUAUGCUAUAUUUUGAUGCAUUCAACAGUUGAGCUUUAUUCAAUCUUUAGACUUAGUUGAUCUGAUAAUAGAAGAACUGUUUCAUAGUUUCUGUUUAAUUUUGAUGUGGUUUUCGAUCAAGAUUUAUUGAUGUCAAUUCAUCGAGACAUCUCGGUAUUCAUCUGAGUUAUGAAAUAGUCUCUUUUUUGUCUGCCAAUUCGCUUGAAACUAACGACAAUUCACUAUCCUAAUUGUUUCUAUUCUUUGAAGUUUGUGUUUGUCAACUGUGCACUCUCAACAGGUCCAGAUGCGACACUUAUUGAUUUAUAUAAUAGUAUAGACCUCUGAUGUUGAUGUUGGUCAUGAAUCAUUUAUGAAAACACCGAUCAUCGUAUAUUCUUUGGGGUGAAAGAAAAAGGCUCGAAAAACCUAGAUUUGGAAACUUUCUGAAGCAUGAUCAUGUGCAAAUGUAGCAUCAGAUGAGUACCCCUCAAUGUUUUAUACAUUCGUUUUUGUAUAGCCUUUCUCUGAGGGGCCGUGUAUGGAUAAAAUUGUUCCGAGUCCAUAGCAGCUUUUAAACCUGUUAAUGUACCUAAGAAUAAAUAUAUGGUUUUUCAUAUUCACAUGAGUUUUAAGGUUUUUUCAAGUCCUAGUGGCUAGGUAUCUUAUUGAUUUAUCAUUUUUCCUGUGCCUAUUUGCAGAACUUUGGAAUUGAUGGGAAGUUGGUGGUAUAUUUUACCUGCUCCAUUGCUUGGGGCUAAUGUGCAGUCUGGUCUUUAGCCGCAGAAUCAAGUUGUUCUCCUCCGGACGACAAAGCACAAAGCUCAAGAUCAUAUCCAGCAGUUGUUAAGAGUUGAUGUCGUCGAACAUUUGGUACCACUCCCAUGGCCCCCACCGAAACAAUGUAUUAUCCCAUCAAUCUUGUUGAAUUAUUUUGAACAAAUGGAAGUCAGGAACUCUCAUGAAAAUCAGAAACAAGAGGGAAAGAAAGGCGUUUUAGAGGGAGAAAUGCCUCGAAUUUGGAGAAGAAUCCACAAUAAUAGAAGAAGGGGAGCACAUGAGUUUUAGAGAGAGAGAGAGAGAGAGAGAGAGAAAUGAAUGGCUAUACAUGGAGGACAAAGUGAAAAAUAAGGAAGCAGAGAACAGAAAAGUGUUUUGUGUUGAAAGAAUAUAACUUUUUCAGAGCCAUAGAAAGGAGAGAAGAUCAAAACUCCUUUUUAUUUUUUAUGAUCAGAAUUGCAUGAAUUUACAAUUUGAUUGGUUUCAAGUUUUCUUAUUCCUAAUUUCUCUGUCCA